CGCGCUUGUUACUACCGGGGGUAACCGAUCGUCCUCCUUGCUGCUCUGCGGGAUCUCCUCCCCCGCGACACUUCCCUAAAGGAGAUUGGAUUGAAUUUCUACCUAGGUAUCUGAUGCGCCUUCUUAUAAUACCACAUUUUGUUUGUGAGCGGAGGGAACGGAAAAUGAAUGUUGUAGGGCUGUAUGGAAUUCCUAUUAAUAACAGAGCUAUGAGUGAAACUCAGAAGGUUGCACCAGAUUUCAAGGUGACUUGAAAGGACAAGAAAAGUAUGAAAAGCUCAAUGAAGGAAAAAAAGAAGUAUGAUGCUGUAAAUAUAUGCGUGUGUAUCUGCAGUUUCAGGUUGGGCAGAUAUGAAGCCAGCGGGACUGUACUCAAGGCGCAAGACCCAUGACAGAAAAUGUGCCCAGCCCAGAAGCUGUCUGCCUUCACAUGGACACACAGCUGGCUACAACAUGCUUAAUAGUUGAGGAAACUAGAGGCCAAACUGGAUGCUGUUUUCCAGAUGAGGCCAACCACUCCCAGAGUACUGUGAGACCUCCUCAAGCCAGAGAGAACAGUGGGCACCCUUUGCCUUCCUUGCUCUCCUAAAAUGUCACAGCCGGGGGGGAGGGGUGGUCACACUCUGUGCUAGGGCUAUUGGUGAGUAUUAAAAGACAUGCUGACAUGGAA